rnacentral:rRNA from 1 species
GGAAAACUUACCAGGUCCAGACAUAACAAGGAUUGUCAGAUUGAAGAUCUUACUUGAUUUUAUGGGUGGUGGUGCAUGGCCGUUCUUAGUUGGUGGAGUGAUUUGUCUGGUUAAUUCCGUUAACGAACGAGACCUCAGCCUGCUAACUAGUAGUGCCUAUCCUUUUGGGCGGCGCCCUCACGGGAUGUCGCCUGAUUUCAUGGAUAGGGUACUUAAUCUACUUCUUAGAGGGACUUUCCGUGUCUAGCGGAAGGAAGUUUGAGGCAAUAA